AUUCUGCCCAUGCGGGGAAGGAUGAGAAGCUUCGACCAAGGUUCGAUUCGAGGCCAGCGAGAGAGCGUUGCCGCAGGCAACGACCCGUAGGGCGAAGCGCGCAGCGCUGAGUAAUCCUUCCCCCACCACCA
rnacentral:sRNA from 1 species